UUUCUUUACAGUCUGCUUGGCAAUAUUUUAUUCUAUUUCAGUCAGAUAUAUACACAAACGAAAACAUUUCCCUCCAACUGCCGCACAAAUAUUUCUGUUCCUUCCAAGCAGAAUCGCAAGUGUCGUUGACAUUUGCCGAAAAUAGGGUUUUCGUCUGCUUGGAUCAAAAGCAUUAAAAACCGCUACAUCAUCCGCUCCCAUAAGUAUCCAAUAUUCCUGCAGAGCUGCUUGUCUGGCCUGUCAGAAUUCGGAUGCGGCAACGCACAACAAAAAGACAAAAGAAUGGCCGAAAUGAGAUAACCUUUAAAAGCUGCUCGUAUGCUAAAACUAAAUAACGGCAUUAGAGCCAAAUGGCAACCAGGACAUGGAGGUAGACCAACUGCAAGUACUCAUGUGUGUGUGUGGGUAGUAAUACCGUUUGUUUGGAGUACAGCAACUGAAGCCGUGCCUCUCAAGUCAAUCUACUUCUCUCCUGUUUGAUACCCCGCAUUUACUGUCGGAUAACUACUGCUGAAGCUCUAAGAAUUUAGUUGCCCGGGACAACUGAAAAAGGCAACUUGAAAGCAACAACAAAUGCAAAUUGCUGGCUCGCUCACUCUCUUCUCUCUCUUCCUCUCGUGUGUUACAAAUGAGUGCAAUUGUUUUCCAUGUGCAGCAAAUUUUUUAUGAUUAUCCCUCUUUUUUGUUGACGGUGGCUGGGAAUCCCCCAGCAUUCUGCCGUCAGCUUUAAGUUGUUGCGAAAUUUGGAUAACUAGGUGCACGGCGGGAUCUGGAAAACGGAGAAGAAAGCCGAAACGAAAGGAAAGGAGCGGAAAGGAAAAGCUUUAGCAGAGCAGGAUUAACACCUGUUUUGUGUGCAGCGCCAAGCCUCGAAUUUAUUGUGUUUGUUUACAAGCUUUUUGCGUGCGCAAAUUUUGUGAAUUGGACCAAGUUAUGAGUGCCAGCGCCUUUGGGCCCUCAUUUCCCGGGCUCACGCAGCAGAAUUUUCACCAGCGGCGACUUAACGCAAAAUUAUGGUCCGCCCAGAUAAUGUGAAAAGGAAAGUGCAGCGGACCAGUUUCCCAGGCCGCAUUCCGUUUGCAUUAGUAGUGACAUUCUAAUAUGAACGAAGCCGUGGAAAAAUGAAAAGUUUGCGAUAUCUGGGGAAUUGCUGUGGCAAUACCAAGCUUAAAAAGAUCUGGAGUUUGGGAUUUUUGCAAGUUGAUAGCCUAACCGCAAUUUGAACAUGGGGUAAAUCUCAAAGUAGAUGAAAGAUGCCAAAACGCACACUUCGCAGAUAUAUUUUAUUAUUUUAAUAGUUCAACGCCCGCAGCUCAGAGAUCGACUUGGCUAGUGAUCCAGUGAUAAACUUUACUUGGUCGGAAACGCUUCUUUCUGCCUCACCCAUCCUAUGAUUACCACCACCCAUCCUAUAUCAUCGCGGAUUGAGUUUAAUACAAUACUCAAUUU
rnacentral:sRNA from 13 species